GCCACCUCAAGCGUUAACGGGCAAAAAAUUGAUUGUUUCGAAACAUCUCGUCCAAAUCCAAUCAAACGGCUAAUUUGAGAGCGUAUUUGAAUUUGUACCUUUCUUCGGUUUCAGAGGCACUUUUAAUCGUACCUCUGCUUUUAGUUUUUCAUUUUCUGAGAUUCACAGGGACUCCUCAUCCUUGGAAGCAGCCGGCAACAAGAUAAUUCUGUUUGACGGGCCUGGAUGAUGUUCGUGGAGGAAGAAAUAAUCUCUGCCAAUGUUGAAGCUCUAUCACUACAUUGUCUCUCUAAACAGUAAUGUUUUCUUGCUUUCCGAUGAAAGCAACAUGGGUUGAGCCAUUCAGAUUCACAAGCCAUAGCAUGAUGUUUCAAGGUGGAAUAUGAUUGGUGACGGUAUUGGUAAGGUACAGGCAUCCUGGCGGAAGACUGGAUUGGGUUAUAUAGAUUGUAUCAGUAUUGUUAUCAUCAUAAGUAUGGUCAAGAGAGGAGCUUAGUACAAUAGGCAAUAGAUGGAAAAGCCCUAAAAUAUCAUGUUAUAGAUAUUGUGGGUGCACCAGCCUUUAAUGAAUUUGUAUUUGAUCCCAUCAUUUCCCAUUUAUUUCUUGGUUGAUAAAUAAUUAUAUCGAUUCAUAUGACUCCGAUUAAGGCUAUAUCUCUGCGAGGAUUCAUAUGUGAAGGUGAAUCUUCUAUUAAGUCUUAUUCACAUAAAGGGUGUGCAUGUGGGGGAUGUUUCCAGUGUGAAGCUAAAGCCAAGGACUCAUAUGAUUUCAAGUCACUAAUAGUUGAAGGAAAGAUUCUGUGGGAGGUUUGAGUUUGCCAUAAAUGAAGUCUCUAGAGGUAGGUGGCGAUAUUCUUCCCAAUGAAGCUGAUCCUUGAUUUUGCAUCCAUAAUUUUAGCAGAUCCUCUGGUUAUCUAUGCUAUAGCCACUAGAAGUUUUUUAAGAGUCCUUUUGGCUGGAGCAACAACUUCCAUUUAUGUGAUGGUAAGCAUUGCUUUUGGCUUUUGAAGAGCAUAUUUGUAAUUCCUUUUGAAUUGUUUUUCAUAGAUUUCUGCA